AUGAUGAAUUUUUUGAGAAUUUUACUGGCGAUCCUGUGGCUUCAGUUAAGCUGGGUUUGGAGCCAACAGAAGGAGGUGGAGCAGAAUCCUGGACCCCUCAAUGUUCCAGAGGGAGCCAUUGCCUCUCUCAGCUGCACUUACAGCAACCGUGCUUUUCAAUACUUCAUGUGGUACAGACAGUAUUCCAGAAAAGGUCCUGAGUUGCUGAUGUUCACAUACUCCAGUGAUAAAAAAGAAGAUGGAAGGUUUACAGCACAGCUCAAUAAAUCCAGCCAGUACAUUUCCUUGUUCAUCAGAGACUCCCAGCCUAGUGACUCAGCCACCUACCUCUGUGCAGUGAGCACACAGUGCUCUCCAGACACCUGCAGUCUGUACCCAAACCUGCUGUGCCCCAGGCAUGCCUGA